UAUGGGGCGCAGCAGGCGAGAAAACUUUGCAAUGUGCGAAAGCACGACAAGGUUAAUCCGAGGUUUGUGCUAAACGAACCUUUUGACAGUCCUAGAAACACUGUUGAAUAAGGGGUGGGCAAGUUCUGGUGUCAGCCGCCGCGGUAAAACCAGCACCUCAAAGUGGUCAGGAUGAUUAUUGGGCCUAAAGCAUCCGUAGCCGGCUCUGUAAGUUUUCGGUUAAAUCUGUACGCUCAACGUACAGGCUGCCGGGAAUACUGCAGAGCUAGGGAGUGGGAGAGGUAGACGGUACUCGGUAGGAAGGGGUAAAAUCCUUUGAUCUAUUGAUGACCACCUGUGGCGAAGGCGGUCUACCAGAACACGUCCGACGGUGAGGGAUGAAAGCUGGGGGAGCAAACCGGAUUAGAUACCCGGGUAGUCCCAGCUGUAAACUAUGCAAACUCAGUGAUGCAUUGGCUUGUGGCCAAUGCAGUGCUGCAGGGAAGCCGUUAAGUUUGCCGCCUGGGAAGUACGUACGCAAGUAUGAAACUUAAAGGAAUUGGCGGGGGAGCACCACAAGGGGUGAAGCCUGCGGUUCAAUUGGAUUCAACGCCGGGAAUCUUACCGGGAGAGACAGCAGGGUGAAAGUCAA
rnacentral:rRNA from 1 species